CCAAGUUGAUAAUUACCGGGCGUAAAGCGUGGUUAAGAUUUUUAUACAACUAAAGCCGAACCCCUUCAGAGCUGUUAUACGCACCCGAAGAUAAGAAGUUCAACCACGAAAGUGGCUUUAUAGCCCUGAACCCACGAAAGCUAAGAUACAAACUGGGAUUAGAUACCCCACUAUGCCUAGCCAUAAACAUUGGUAGUAUGUUACACCCACUACCCGCCUGGGUACUACGAGCAUCAGCUUGAAACCCAAAGGACUUGGCGGUGCUUUAGACCCCCCUAGAGGAGCCUGUUCUAGAACCGAUAACCCCCGUUCAACCUCACCUUCCCUUGUCUUCCCCGCCUAUAUACCGCCGUCGUCAGCUUACCCUGUGAAGGGUUAAUAGUAAGCAAAAUUGGUUCAACCUAAAACGUCAGGUCGAGGUGUAGCGUAUGGGGAGGGAAGAAAUGGGCUACAUUUCCUGCCACAGGAAAUACGAAUGAUGUGCUGAAACGUUCAUCUGAAGGAGGAUUUAGCAGUAAGCAGGAAAUAGAGCGUCCCGCUGAAAUUGGCCCUGAAGCGCGCACACACCGCCCGUCACUCUCCCCAAGCCUACAAACUUCAGUAAAUAAAACCUUACAAUCGCGAAGGGGAGGCAAGUCGUAACAUGGUAAGUGUACCGGAAGGUGCACUUGGAAAAAU
rnacentral:rRNA from 1 species